GAUGAACGCUGGCGGCGUGCCUAAUACAUGCCAGUCGAGCGAACAGACGAGGAGCUUGCUCCUCUGACGUUAGCGGCGGACGGGUGAGUAACACGUGGAUAACCUACCUAUAAGACUGGGAUAACUUCGGGAAACCGGAGCUAAUACCGGAUACUAUCUUGAACCGCAUGGUUCGAUAGUGAAAGACGGUUUUGCUGUCACUUAUAGAUGGAUCCGCGCCGCAUUAGCUAGUUGGUAAGGUAACGGCUUACCAAGGCAACGAUGCGUAGCCGACAUGAGAGGGUGAUCGGCCACACUGGAACUGAGACACGGUCGAGACUCCGACGGUGGGAAGCAGUAGGGAAUCUUCCGCGAUGGGCGAAAGCCUGACGGAGCAACGUCGCGUGAGUGAUGAAGGUCUUCGGAUCGUAAAACUCUGUUAUUAGGGAAGAACAAAUGUGUAAGUAACUAUGCACGUCUUGACGGUACCUAAUCAGAAAGCCACGGCUAACUACGUG
rnacentral:rRNA from 1 species